rnacentral:rRNA from 1 species
UGCCGCGUGAAGGAAGACGGCCUUAUGGGUUGUAAACUUCUUUUAUACAGGAAGAAACCUUUCCACGUGUGGAAAGCUGACGGUACUGUAAGAAUAAGGAUCGGCUAACUCCGUGCCAGCAGCCGCGGUAAUACGGAGGAUCCAAGCGUUAUCCGGAAUUAUUGGGUUUAAAGGGUCCGCAGGCUGUUUGUUAAGUCAGAGGUGAAAUCCUACCGCUCAACGGUAGAACUGCCUUUGAUACUGGCAAACUUGAGUUAUUGUGAAGUAGUUAGAAUGUGUAGUGUAGCGGUGAAAUGCAUAGAUAUUACACAGAAUACCGAUUGCGAAAGCAGAUUACUAACAAUGUACUGACGCUGAGGGACGAAAGCGUGGGUAGCGAACAGGAUUAGAUACCCUGGUAGUCCACGCCGUAAACGAUGGUCACUAGCUGUUUGAUGUACAUUGGUACAUUGAGUGGCUAAGCGAAAGUGAUAAGUGACCCACCUGGGGAGUACGCUCGCAAGAGUGAAACUCAAAGGAAUUGACGGGGGCCCGCACAAGCGGUGGAGCAUGUGGUUUAAUUCGAUGAUACGCGAGGAACCUUACCAGGACUUAAAUGUAAGUUGCAUGAUUCAGAAAUGGAUCUUUCUUCGGACUACUUACAAGGUGCUGCAUGGUUGUCGUCAGCUCGUGCCGUGAGGUGUCAGGUUAAGUCCUAUAACGAGCGCAACCCCUAUCGUUAGUUGCCAUCAAGUAAAGUUGGGAACUCUAGCGAAACUGCCGGUGCAAACCGUGAGGAAGGUGGGGAUGACGUCAAAUCAUCACGGCCCUUACGUUCUGGGCUACACACGUGCUACAAUGGCCGGUACAGAAAGCAGCCACUAUGCGAAUAGGAGCUAAUCUUCAAAGCCGGCCUCAGUUCGGAUCGCAGUCUGCAACUCGACUGCGUGAAGCUGGAAUCGCUAGUAAUCGGAUAUCAGCCAUGAUCCGGUGAAUACGUUCCCGGGCCUUGUACACACCGCCCGUCAAGCCAUGGAAGCUGGGGGUACCUAAAGUCGGUGACCGAAAGGAGCCGCCUAGGGUAAAACUAGUAACUGGGGCUAAGUCGUAACAAGGUAGCCGUACCGGAAGGUGCGGCUGGAAUACCUCCUUUCU